rnacentral:rRNA from 1 species
GGCAGCAGCUAAGAAUAUUCCGCAAUGGGGGGAACCCUGACGGAGCGACGCCGCGUGGGCGAUGAAGGCCGGAAGGUUGUAAAGCCCUUUUAUGCGCGAGGAAUAAGGAGGGGAGGCAAUGCCCCUCUGGUGACUGUAGCGCAUGAAUAAGCGCCGGCUAAUUACGUGCCAGCAGCCGCGGUAACACGUAAGGCGCAAGCGUUGUUCGGAAUCAUUGGGCGUAAAGGGCGUGUAGGCGGCCGCAUAAGUCGGGAGUGAAAGGCGCGGGCUCAACCCGCGGACUGCUCCCGAUACUGUGCGGCUCGAGUCCCCGUGGCGCGGCCGGAAUUCCAGGUGUAGGGGUGAAAUCUGUAGAUAUCUGGAAGAACACCGGUGGCGAAGGCGGGCCGCGAGCGGGAGACUGACGCUGAGGCGCGAAGGUGCGGGUAGCGAACAGGAUUAGAUACCCUGGUAGUCCGCACAGUAAACGAUGCACGCUGGGCGUCCGGCGCAUGGCCGGGUGCCGAAGCGAACGCGGUAAGCGUGCCGCCUGGGGAGUAUGCCCGCAAGGGUGAAACUCAAAGGAAUUGACGG